rnacentral:misc_RNA from 1 species
GGGAUAUGUAAUGCGGGCUGCCUCCGGGCGCCCACCUCCACCCGUGAAUACCUAACACUGUUGCUUCGGCGGGGAACCCCCUCGGGGGCGAGCCGCCGGGGACUACUGAACUUCAUGCCUGAGAGUGAUGCAGUCUGAGUCUGAAUAUAAAAUCAGUCAAAACUUUCAACAAUGGAUCUCUUGGUUCCGGCAUCGAUGAAGAACGCAGCGAACUGCGAUAAGUAAUGUGAAUUGCAGAAUUCAGUGAAUCAUCGAGUCUUUGAACGCACAUUGCGCCCCCUGGCAUUCCGGGGGGCAUGCCUGUCCGAGCGUCAUUGCUGCCCAUCAAGCCCGGCUUGUGUGUUGGGUCGUCGUCCCCCCCGGGGGACGGGCCCGAAAGGCAGCGGCGGCACCGUGUCCGGUCCUCGAGCGUAUGGGGCUUUGUCACCCGCUCGACUAGGGCCGGCCGGGCGCCAGCCGACGUCUCCAACCAUUUUUCUUCAGGUUGACCUCGGAUCAGGUAGGGAUACCCGCUGAACUUAAGCAUAUCAAUAAGCGGAGGAA